rnacentral:rRNA from 1 species
UACGUAGGGUGCAAGCGUUGUCCAGAAUUAUUGGGCGUAAAGAGCUCGUAGGCGGUUUGUCGCGUCUGCUGUGAAAACUGGGGGCUCAACCCCCAGCCUGCAGUGGGUACGGGCAAACUAGAGUGCGGUAGGGGAGAUUGGAAUUCCUGGUGUAGCGGUGGAAUGCGCAGAUAUCAGGAGGAACACCGAUGGCGAAGGCAGAUCUCUGGGCCGUAACUGACGCUGAGGAGCGAAAGCGUGGGGAGCGAACAGG